rnacentral:rRNA from 1 species
AUGGGGACAUCCCUCACAACAGGGGCUCCAUAUCCAGGUUCGACUUGUGGUGGUUCUCAGAGCAUCCUUGUUGGUAAUGUUCUUUACUGGCUGUUAAGUCAUGCGGAAGACGGCAUACUUCAGUUUGAUUUGGAUAGACAAAGCCUCGAUGUGAUCGAGGCCCCUCCCAGGAUGAAUGUUCCCUGCAACUGUCAGAUAAUCCAGGCCGAGGAUGGUACUCUUGGCCUCGCCAUAUUGUCUCACCGUUACCAUAACAUUCAAAUGUGGCAGAGGAAGGUUAAUUGCAAUGGUGUUGGCACAUGGGUGCGGUUGAAGACCACUGAAAUGCAUGACAUUCAUGGGCUCCCUCCUCCAGCAAGGAGGGGGAUGGAAUUGAUACGGGGAUAUGCCGAGGAUGCUGAUGAAAUAUUUUUAUAUCUGGACGACACUUUCUAUAUGGUUCAACUUAAGUCGAUGCGAUCAAGAAAACUCUGGGAAACCCAUCACAUUACCCUUUGUCAUUCUUUCAACAGUUUCUAUAUGCCAGGCAUUGGAAUUGCUGGUGGACGAUUCAAUGGAUGA